rnacentral:lncRNA from 1 species
CCGGCUCCAACUGCGGCCGGCCUGCCGGCCUGCGAGCACCGGACUCGGCACCGACCCCGGUCACCACCCCGACGACGAGCGCGGCUCGGCGCCCGGUCAGGUCAUGGAUCCUCGCGGGAACUCGCGGGUGCUCGCCUGCAGGGACACAGAGAGGGAGAAGGGAGUUACCGCCGGGCCUCCGAGGGGGCGCCCAGACCGACGCGGCCCGCCUUUCGGGCUCGGCCCUUGAGGUUACCUCCAGCCGCCGCCCCGAGCGCGGGUUCCCUCCGGCCUCCACCUCCUCCUCCUAGCUCUGCUGCCGCCGCCGCCGCUGCCGGAAAAGGCGCCGAGGAAACCGCCUCACUUCCCCUCCCAACUGCGCACGCGCGCCUCGGCCCGACCGUUCGGAAGAGCGCGACCUCUGAAAGGAGAGUGGCCCGCGCUCUCGACGUCACGAGCGCCACGCGCCGGGGGGCGGGGCUACGGCGGCUCCCGGGGCUCAACGCCGGCGCCUCGCGGAACCUGCUGGCGUGGGGCUGGCCGUGUGCCCACCUGUCGCUCUACCCGGGGUCUCCGCGGGUCUCCUUCUCCGCCACUCGAAGGCGGGGCACGGAUCCACCGAGGGCGGGCUUCGUCGGCCCUUAG